rnacentral:sRNA from 1 species
GGACAAUGCCAAAGACGGAUAUAUUAAGGAUAGCAUUGAACAAAAAUUGCUGGUUUCAAUGAAUCUUGGUUUGUGAAAUUUUUGUAUCAUAGUAACACUAUACUCCUUUGUAUAUGCGAUUUGUAACGAACGCACCAAUCCUAAAAAAUCUUUUAUUGUUUUUCAACAAAUUAGUCAGGAAAAUAUUUAUUUUCGGAGGAGUGAAACGAGGGAGAAAAUAAAUUUAUUUCUUUACGUUAUUAACUUCGUUUAUUUCCGUUAGUAUUCGUAUUAUCUGGUUUACUUCAAUACUGGUUAUUUCAUGCACGAGCGCUUUCACUCUCAGUAUAAAUAGAUUUCCCGGGGAGUAUUCGAUUAAUGCGACGUUCGUUACAAAGCAGGUUGUCUUUGGUUUUCCCUUACCUCCCUGACCCAAAUAUGUUUUUUGAUAUUAACUAAUAUUUUGUGCUGCCAUUUAUUUGUAUGUCGAAUGGAUAUUAAAAAUGCGAUUUGUAACGAACGCACCAAUCCU